CCUACGGGAGGCAGCAGUGGGGAAUCUUGCGCAAUGGGCGAAAGCCUGACGCAGCAACGCCGCGUGGGGGAUGAAGGCUCUCGGGUUGUAAACCCCUUUCAGCAGGGACGAAUCAAGACGGUACCUGCAGAAGAAGCCCCGGCUAACUACGUGCCAGCAGCCGCGGUAACACGUAGGGGGCAAGCGUUGUCCGGAUUUAUUGGGCGUAAAGAGCUCGUAGGUGGCUGAGUAAGUCGGAUGUCAAAUCCCCAGGCUCAACCUGGGAUCCCAUCCGAUACUGCUCUGGCUAGAGUCCGGUAGGGGAGCGUGGAAUUCCUGGUGUAGCGGUGAAAUGCGCAGAUAUCAGGAGGAACACCAGCGGCGAAGGCGGCGCUCUGGGCCGGUACUGACACUGAGGAGCGAAAGCGUGGGUAGCAAACAGGAUUAGAUACCCUGGUAGUCCACGCCGUAAACGUUGGGCACUAGGUGUGGGACCUAUUCAACGGGUUCCGUGCCGUAGCUAACGCAUUAAGUGCCCCGCCUGGGGAGUACGGCCGCAAGGCUAAAACUCAAAGGAAUUGACGG
rnacentral:rRNA from 1 species